GAGCUCACGUCAGCAGCAUAGGCACUAAAAUUGGAAGGAUACGGAGGAGGUUAGCGUGGCCCUUGUGCAAGGAUGACACAGAAAUUUGUGAAGCGUUCCACAUUUUU